rnacentral:misc_RNA from 1 species
GUUUUUAAAAAAUGACACCGUUUAUAAACAACAACAACAACUUUAUUAAUAAAACUAAAAGUUAUUUUUGUUAUGCUAUUUUCAUUUAAUUGUCAUAAAUAUGCAUGUCUGUAAUUAAGUCAGAAUGUACUUUUGUUAUUAGAGAACUUAGAAGCAGAUAUUAACUGUUGUAAAGAAUACUUUGCAAGUACAAAAUGUGGCAUGAAGCACGUAGACAGGAGAAGAAGAUCAGAGGUUUAAUGGUGGAUUAUAAGAAAAGAGCAGAGAGACGCAGGGAGUUCUAUGAAAAAAUAAGAGCUGAUCCUGCACUGUUUGUUCGAGUGUUUGGUCAACAAUGUAAGAUAAACUUAGACCCUGCCAUUGCCCUAGCUGCUGAAAGCCCACAGAGCAUGAUGCCAUGGCAGGGUGACACCAGCAACAUGAUCGACAGGUUUGAUGUACGUGCUCAUCUAGAUAUAAUGCCACCAGAGAAGUCCUACACUAUAGAAUUAAGCAAAGACGAGGAGGAUGAAGAAAGACGAGCUAAUUACGAACGCUACAGGAUUCUUGUUGAAAACGAAUGUGCUGGCUUGACUGAAGAACAAGCCUUGCACCAAUUAUAUCUGGAUGAACAGUUUGGUGCUAUAAACAAAGAUGGUGAAGAGGAGAAAAAUAAAUUGCGGGAUAAAAAAGCAGCUAUAGGCUACACAUACGAGGAUAGUACAGAAGGAAAGAAGGAGGAAGAAGAAAGUGAGGAGAGUGAGAGUGAAGAAGAAGAAGAUAUAGAAACUCUUGACCUAGAUAUUGUGAUAGAUGUAGAUACCCUCAAUGAUGACCAGAUACAGCAGUUUAAUAUAUGUGGUACUGCUUAUGGCAUGGGAAAGCAGGACUACAUCAAAUAUUUACAUCGAGACAAAGAUGAGCAAGAAGCUCUUAAGCAGGCCAAAUUACUGGAAGAGGAAAAGGCACAGUUUGCUGGCAGAAAGUCAAGAAGAGAGAGGAGAAUUUACAAGGAAAAGAGACUUGCUGGUAGAAAGCUUAGUCCUCCUAGCUAUGCAGCUAGGGAUAGUCCAAAAUAUGAGCCAUAUAGAAAGUCUACUUCAAGAUCGAGAUCCCGCUCCUUAACCCCGCCACGUAGACGCCGCAAGAUGUAUAUAACCAGUUUCGGGGACAAUGAUAGUGAUGAAGGCGAUGGUGUGGUGCAGGGCCCCGCCCUACCACCAGGUUUUGGAGGGACUUCUGAAACUGAAAGUACAAACCAGAAACCUUCAGCUUCAUGGGACAGCAAAUCGAAGAAAGAAUCAAUUCGGAAAAGACUAGGCAAGUCUUUAAGCAGAGAAUCAUCUCCAAGAAGUAGAGAUAUAGAAUAUAGCAAGCGAAGGUCACGUUCAAGGUCAAAAGAACGUAAAUACAGGUCAAGGUCACGGGGUCGUCGAUCAAGCUCAUGGUCAAGAGACAGGUAUUCAAGAGACAGAAGAUCUAGAGAUAGAAAUCAGAGGUCAAGGUCACGUGAAAGAUGGCAACGUUCAAGAGAUAGAAGGUCAUCAGAUCAUUCAAGGGGUCGAAGGUCACGAGAAAGAUCAAAAGGGUAUAGAUCAAGAUCUAGAGGUAGAAAAUCUAGGUCAAAUGAGAGAAAAUCUGAUGCAAACCGAUUUGGAAGGGGAAGGUCAAGGUCACGAUCAAGAAGCAGGCGACGAUCAUCAUCUUCAUCUAGAUCUAGUUCAAAAUCAUCAAGAGAUUCCCGAUCAAAAUCCAGAUCGCCAACUAAACCAGUAGUGAAGAGGUAUCGACGUGAGUCUCUGUCCUCCAAAAGUUCGAGUGAUUCGGAUCACUCACCACCUAGAAAGUCAACAUCAACCUCAUACACUAGACCAAAAUCUGGUGCUGCUGGAUCCACGGGUGGAAAACCUUUAGUGCCGUAUGGUAAAACCUCCAGCAUAUCUCAAGUCAACAAAACUUACACCACAAGAGAGGCUUAAGAAGAGGAUGCAGAUAGCUUUAAGCAAACAAUAUAAAGCGGAUAAAAAGGCAGAGGUUAUGAGGAUAGAAAAGAUGGAACAAGAAAAAAUGGAUCGGGAAGAAGAGCUGAGGCAGCGUGCUAUGGAGAUGCGUCGACGAGAACGUGAGAAACGUCAUAAGGAGAUGGUGGAG